GAAUUCGCAAUUUUCCGUACAGUUAGAAACGCCAUCUUCUCCAAUGUAGUCGACAAAACAAUCUCUCAUUGCACUUCUACGGGGAAAUUAAAGGAAUUUUAAAUUUUCAGAAUUAUUAAUAUUUUCAUUUGAUUAACCUUUUUCAUUGUUAGUUUGUCGUGAUAGAAAAUUUGUUUCUAAGUUUCAUAGGCAUGGAUGGGAUUCACAAAAUUUGCUCUGAUAAAAGAUGAUUGAUCUUAAAUGUACCUCGAUUGACACACCUGACUACAUAGACAUUCUUCAUUUUAACUGCUCAAACAUGCCAUUGUUAUAGACCCUCAUCCUAUUGAUUCUUUCAACCAUUGUCCUCAUUGCAUAGUGUUUUGUGACUGGGACUGACAAUCCAGAUGAAAUUGCUGUGGAUAGAUGCUUCGGACUCUUAGGUUCAAAGUAGCUCAGUUAAAUGGCAUUUAAUGUAGUUUUUGCCAGAAAUGUCUAUUUGUGAUCGCUCCGACGUUGUGGAGCGAUUGCGGAAGUACCAAUAACUGAGUAAGUUUACUGUUAAAAUUAGUCAGUGUCUCCCUUGUUGACAUUGAUGGACAUUCCCUAUUGAGCUAAACAUUAUGUAUGCUAAGUUAUGCUUUCCUUCUAGAUCUUGUGAUCAACUACCACUAUAUAAGUAGAAACUGAGAUGCAUGUCUUAGAUCUCUUUCCCUCUGUGGCUUCGUUUGCCUUUGACUUAUGGUAAGUAUAUAGCGGUCAUGCCGCUAGCGAAUAAUAAUGUUUACGAAAUGAGAAACGUCCUAAUAAUUGGUACAAAAACAUUCGUGGUUGCAUCAAGAAUUUCAUUGGGAAGUAAAGAUUAUGUUGAGAAAAUUUCGUUUAUGCCAUUCAAGAAGUCGUUUUUACUCGAUGACCUUUCAUGUCAUGUAAAGCGCCUUUACUGUUCCGAUUUUUUUAUUCGUGUAAUUUCGUUACAAUAUCUGCUAUAAAAAGGAAUUAUUUGCUCAGAAUUUUGUAUUGUUAGAUGACUAUCUUCAUACAGAUAUAGACAAAUUAUUGAUUCACGACGCGUCAAAAAUUAAUAAAACCCGCCACUAUUAAAUCCUUAAUUAAUAGAAGUUCAUUUCAAAACUUUCUCACACUACACUGCAAAAUUUUACGCAUCAAGUUCAGGAAAAAAAAGAAGUUUCCUAAGGAUCAUAUCAAUACUCUGCUACGAGACAAAGCAAACUACAUCCGCAUUCGUACUGCAGUUAUUCCCGUCUUGUUCCAAUGAACAAAACCAACAUUGACAGCUUAGAAAAUGGUAGUAUAUUUUUAAAUGGAACGUUACGUGGCGAUUUCGGAAAAGUAACUCCCCAUUGAAGCGUCAGAUGACGGUUAAAAGAACGGACUCUUUCGUUUGCUUUGCCAAGUGAAUCUGUGCUUGGAACUGGCAGGUGGCGUUUAGCAGUGGCAUCCAAUCUCUAUUCUUAAAAUCCAGCGGUGUUCUUCACUUUUCAGGAGGAUUGAUUGAUGAUACUUGUUGGUUAAACCACGAAGAAUACCAAUACAUGGAUGAGUGGAGGGCUAUAAAAGUUUAAAACUAAUUCCUUAUGGCAUUUUCAUUCUCGCAUGCGCGGCAGUUCGUGAGCAGACGAAGCAUUGAAAGAGCCUUGCGCAGUCUAGCUGCAUCCAGCCAGAUACUUGUAGAACCCGAAAUAUUGUUUUGACAAGUACUGCCAUAUUUCGGUGGCUGGUUUUCAGUAAAUACCAAGUAUAUCAGAAAAAAGAUUCACAUUUUCAUGAUCCUCGUCAAAUUUGGGGUCGAUUCCAUGUAUCAGCUCAAAAUACCCCAAAAUCGUCAAAAAUCGCAAAUUUUCCUGAACAUGUUCCUGAACACUGUUCAUGAAAAAUCACGAUUUUGUUCAAAUCCGACUUUUGGCUACAAACACGUCAUUCCAACUCAAAUUCGAUAAGGAUCACAAAAAUCCUACUCGUUUUAUUAUGGGAUUACUAUUUCCGGAGAUAUUGGCUACUUCCGGUUACUUCCAUAAAUUUUUCCUGACAAUUUUCAAAAAGGUAGUGCAGCUAUUAUUCCCUGUUUCUUUUCGCCAUCAACAGUACAGGUGACCCUACGAGCAACGACAGUUUCAGCUACAAAUGUUUCAGUGCCUGGUCUUUCAACCAAUAGUUGAUAUUCUAGGUUCUUAUGUUUAAAAUUGAAAUUUAACUAUUUGAGAUUAGUAAAGUUCAAGCACUUAAAAAUAAGAACUGUACUGACAUGGUACUGAUUUCAAAAUAAAAUUCAUUUUUUGGGGGGUUUCAGGAGGGAAAAUAGAUGGCGUUGAUCUUUGUCUAUGAUAAAUAUUACGAGUGACAAGUUAAAUUGAUGGUUUGUUACGUUUCUACCCUGUUUAGUGUUUUAAAGGAUUUUCAUCAAAUAUUUACGUGUCGCCAUUGAUAGAAGUGUGUUGGAAGGACAUCACAUCAAAAAAUUGCUUUUUGUAUGCAACAGUUUCCCCUGCCAUCACCUUUCCAAACUACUGAACGAGAUACAUUGGACAUUAUUCUUCAUAUUGAGAAAACUGUUUUCAUACUAAGGCCAAAAGAAUACUGAAACAAAAAAUCUUCAUCUAUUGAAUGGUACCAAUCAUCUACCAGCUGCCUACUUAUCCUUCUUCCGAACUUCACUCCUGAGCUGAUCGCUAUCCAUAGCUAUCUGCACUUCAUGUCAUUAAUCUAAAGCUUUCAAAUCUUCAUCUUUGAAUGCUAUCUCAACCAUUUCUUCUAUGCUGCCUUGACCUCCCCUUGACCUUCAAACAUACAGAAAUUUCAACACCCUCACCUCUUUAUGGAUUGCCAAGUGUUCAUUUUCGUGUUUCAUGGAAAAUCGUCGUCCAAAACAUGUGCUGACUGCUGAAGUCUUAAUUCCCGUGCGUCGUGAAACACGUGGCAUCCAAUACCGAUAGAUGUUAUCCCGGAAGGUGUAUGGAUCCAAAACAACCCACGGCUAUGGCGCAGGACAUCAUCGUGGAGCGUCUUAUUCAAUGUAGUAUUGUUUUGUUAUUUUGUUCGUGUGAGUUAACCCGUUGGCUGCCACCCACUUUUCUCCCAUUUUUUUUUGUAGCUUUAGGGACCGGCCGCACUGUCCUGCCCCGUGGGGUGGGGCAGUUGCAAUGGCCUUCGCCGAAAGGCGCUUAGGCAAUGCACCAGUAGGGACUUCUCUUUGUUCGAUGCGAUGGCGGAAUCUUGAGGGUGUGCAUUCCCUGUAAUGGAUUCCGUCAUCGCAUCAGCCCGGACUUUUCUUCGGACAAGUCCCACCUUGGUCGUGGAUCCUUCAGAUGCGACGCGUAGUUAAGUAGUAACACAACCUAAGGGUUGUAAGGCGUGGCAGCCAACGGGUUAACUAUUUGUGUAUGUGUGUAUGUAUGUAUGUAUGUAUGUAUGUAUGUAUUUUUGUAUUUUGUUAUGUAUGUUUGAUUUUGUAUGUAAACAGUGGUGGAAUUGUGGGAGGUGGUGGGACAAUACAAACAAUUCCUGUCAUA